GGAGCAAUGGGCUCUGCAGUAGGCUCACACUGUCACACUUUGGUUCUGUCUAGGAAAGACAUGCAAUUGUUCUUCAUUUGUGUCAGCUUCAUGAGCACAUCUCUUCUUCUCCUCGGAACCACCUCUGUUCUGUAUGCUGGAGUUCGAAUCUCGCUCUUCAGUUUCUAUUGCUGGAUCUUCAUUCGUAGACUGUGUAAGGCUUUGGAUUAUAUCUAAAUGUCACACUUCCCGUGUCUCCCGGACUCCAUUACCCAUGAUCCUCCUGUCUCCACACCUGCACUCACUUCCCUCAUCUUCUCCCCAUCAUCACGGAUCACCUGCACCUGGACUUCCUCAUCAGCACUGCCUUUAUAUUGGACUCACUCCCUUCACUCCCUGUCUGUUCUCUGUUAAUGUUAUUGUGGUAAUGGUGUUAUGUUGUAUUAUUCUCCUGAGUUCUUAUUAAAGCCUAUUGUUUGUGGAUCUCCGUCUCUCCUGCAUACACCACCCGUAACACUAAUAUAAAGGUCAAACGUUUUUAAAGACAAGUUAACAGUUGGUAAUAAAAUUAGAACACAUAAUUGCAAGCAAUAGCAGGUAAAUACAAUAGAACAGCAAUUUAAGUAAACUGCUUUUAGUUUUUUAGAUUUUCAGGAACAGUAGGUCUAACAGUAGUAUUCAUAUAAGAAAUACUACAGAAAUUGAAUAUACAGUAGAUGAAUAUAAUAAAAGUUAAUCCUUAAAGGCUACAAAAGUUAUUCAGUCAAGAGUAGUGAGUGAUUUUCUGUUUUUCUUUUGUUCUUUAAUUAAUAUUAAUGUUGCAAACUGCAGAGGGUAUAUUAAGCUGCUGUCACUUUAAGACAUGAUGCACAUGAUGUGGAUCUGACACACAUCUGAUUUUCU